rnacentral:lncRNA from 1 species
CUUUAGUGAUAAGCUUGGGGAAGGUGGUUAUGGUUCGGUUUUCAAAGGAAGGCUAGAUGAUGGUCAUCAAGUUGCUGUGAAAUUCUUACACGACUCCAAAGGAGAAGGGGAGGAUUUUGUUAACGAGGUUAUGAGCAUUGGCAGGACCUCUCAUGUUAAUAUUGUUAGCUUAUUUGGGUUUUGUUUGGAAGGCUCAAAGCGGGCCCUAAUAUAUGAGUACAUGCCCAAUGGUUCUUUGGAUAAGUUCAUAUACUCAGAGAGUCCUAAAGCAGUUUUAGGAUGGGAUAAGCUCUACACAAUAGCGAUUGGAAUUGCUCGAGGAUUGGAAUACUUGCAUCAUAGUUGUAAUACACGCAUUGUCCAUUUUGAUAUCAAGCCUCAAAAUAUCCUUCUAGAUGAGGAUUUUCACCCAAAGGUUGCUGAUUUUGGUUUAGCCAAAUUGUGUCAUACCAAGGAGAGCAAGCUUUCUAUGACUGGUGCUAGAGGAACAGUUGGUUUUAUUGCUCCUGAAGUUCACUCUCGAACCUUUGGAGUUGUUUCAACAAAAUCAGAUGUUUAUAGUUAUGGAAUGAUGUUAUUAGAGAUGGUUGGAGGCAGAAAAAAUGUGAAAUCAGUUGCUCAGAAAUCAAGUGAAAAGUAUUUUCCACAUUGGAUUUAUGAUCGUGUUAGACAAGGUGAUGGAUUACAAGCAUGUGAGGUCUCAAGUGAAAAUGAAGGAAUAGCCAAAAAGAUGAGUGUGAUUGGCUUGUGGUGCAUCCAAAUACUACCAAUGCAUCGCCCUACAAUAGCAAAGGUUUUGGAAAUGUUUGAGCGAGGUUUAGAUGAUUUGGACAUGCCACCGAGACAAAACUUCAGCCAAAUUCUGUAAGAUGUUCACGCUACUUAUUUCUGGAACUACUCACUACUAUUUACUAUAAUGUUGAUGUUUUAGAAACAAUUCUUUUCAUUCUUUUGCAGCGAAGAUCCAUGUUGCAAUUUGAAUGCAGAAAGCACGAGUACAAGAAGUGGUACCAAAACUCAAGUUUUUAGCGAAGUGCUAAAAAUGAAGGAGAUGAGCGUUGUGAAUUCAAAAAGUUUACAUCGGUUACCAACUCUGUGACAAGGUUACCUAGCAUUGGAAUUAUGCACUGAACUUAUGCAUCUAUAUGAGCUAGGGUAGAAAUCUUAAGUUACUCUGAUACUUGUCUCAAAAGAAACAUGCUCACUAUACUAUUUUGCAUUCAAAGUCAUUAAGGCCCCAAGAAGGAAAGUUUUGCAACUAUGCAUACGAUAUUUUGACAUAAUCCUAACAUUUCUAUAUCUUUGUUAGUUAGACCUACAUAAUCCUAACAUUUCUAUAUCUUUGUUAGUUAGACCUUCUCAUUGUUCUUCACUGACGCACCAGCACCCCUUAUAGUCAUCCAUCACCCAAAAUUUACCAAACGCUAAUGACACAUCUGUACCAGAAUCAGGUAAAUGAAAAGGUAUCCAAGGCAUUACACAUACUAGAAAAAAAUCAAGGCAUUAUAGUUUUCGAGUCACGGCCUUAUUAGUAGAGUCGAUCAAGCAUAUAGUUGGAUCCUAAAUUAUUGCCAUGUUGAAAUAUGAGGAUGAAGGCAUAAAGUUGAUCGUAGCCAUGAGUCAUGACACAUGUAUAACUGAGGCCUAAAGGAUCAUAAAUUUUGCUUGACAGUUAUGUAGUUUCUAAAUUUAACCUUCCGGUUCCUAACAAAAGUUAAGGUUGAUAGUUGACACCCACAAGCCGUCCAACUGAACCCUAAAAAGAAAACUACUCAAUCCAAAUACUCGUGGUCUCAAUGCAAAAUCAGAAUACAUUUUCAAACAAUAGAAGGACCGAAUCAGAUUGAUCUACGCAUCUGAUAACUAAAAAUCACAUAUGUGGGUAAAUCGAUCAUAAAUCUUGUGGAAGUACGGAACCAGGGGCGGAUCCAGGGCCCGGGCUGCUCGGGCUGCAGCCCGGGGCGAGACCGUGGAGUCCCUUUAACCUACGUACUGUUUAGCCUAACAAAAUAAGGUUUAUGAGACAAAAUUAGACUAUUUUAGAUGUGAUUCAACAGCUCAGCCCGGGGUGCAGCCCCGUUCUGGAUCCGCCCCUGUACGGAAACCAAUCAAAAUGUGUGAUACUUACAUGGUUCUUCGAAUGCCCGCUGCUUCUACUAUUCUUCCAAGGCGACAAGGGUAGGUUAGGCAGGCGUACCCAAAGGGUUUAUGCCACUGAUGGUGCGAGAUUGGAUUAGUACUGCAGCCUCUCCAUCUACCACCCUAAUCACCAGCACGGAGCCGGCGAUGCGGCAAGGCGCAGAGUGGAGAGAUUCUUGAGGGAUUUCCUCAUGCCCUCAUAGGAUGGUACCAAUUUUUUUUGGUACUGGCUGCUAUUGCGCCGUAGGAGAUGGCUGGGGAUGGUGCUAUAACUGUUGUUCACCGCCGCUCAUCUCGAUGGCAAGACGGCAACUGCAACAGCUCGGCAACUCGUUCGUCAGUCGUUGCGGCCUAGAGCGGAUCUCCAUGGACCGAGUCCAUCUGAGGCGAGGGCCCAUCAUGAAAAGUUGGACCGUGCCAGGUCCACGCAGGCACGCCGUCGCCUCCGAUGGCCCAAUACAAUUUGUCAGCGUCUCCAAAAAAGAACACAAUGCAUAUGAUGUGUGCUCUCUGCACAUCCUGACUUGGGAAGGUGACAGGGUUUUGUUUUCAGGAAGCUGGAUGCAUAGCCUGGACGUUUUAGGUUGUGUGGUGAAUACAGUGCUAGUCGUCUCCUCUGAUGCUCUCUUGGAAUGGCCGAGUGGCCGACGAUGUUUGUACCGGCCUGGAGUCCUUUCAAUAUCUAACUGUUGCCAGCUGUAUGUAGUUAACUUUCAGGGUUAGUGUUUGGCAUAAAUGAGUGAAGCUUGCUUGGCCGACAAGAGCGUGUAUUACCCGGAGCUGAUCAGGCUCAGGGCGCGCAUCCAGUCACGUCAGUGUCUCAUGACAGUCGUCGCUUUGCCCCGUCCCAUACGGGCACAUCGGACGUUUCCGUGCGCGGAUGACGAUGGUCCCAAUGUGUCCACUCAAAGCUUUCUGCCGCUACAGUCUACACAGGGCGCGCGACUCACCAGCUUCACCAUUUAGUCUGGCGCUUCUGCCUAUCUAUAUUCGUCCAGAACUGAUUCACCACUCUGUUCGUCCUGCUACUGCCAUCGUAGAAACCUUCCCAUACGCUCCCAUGGCUCCGUCGUCCUUGCUGCUCUUCCUCGUCUCGUCGGUGCCGGGUGAUGCUUGCGGCAGCAGCAGCAUACGUGCAAGGAGGAAAGGACCGCGCACCUGUGGUAUGCGGCAACCUCAGCAUCUCCUACCCGUUUGUGUUACUCUCGGAGGAAGCAACGGAGUAACUACGCAGUGCUCGGAUUCCAAGUCGUUUGCUCAGGCAACACCCUUUACCUCGGGUUAGGUUUUAAGGUAUCGUUCCAGAUUCUUAACAUCUUCUACGGCACGGGCUCCUUAUUCGUUGCCGAUGUCUACAAGCUCCACGACUUCAAUAGCUCCGCGCCCAACGGCUGCCAUGCCCCAGGCGUCAACGUCUCCACAAAGCUCGGCAGCCCAUUCUCAAUCAGCCCCGUCAAUCAGAACCUCAUAUUUUACAACUGCACCAAUCCAGCGGCAGAGGAGGAGAGGCAGAAACGCGGCCUUGUGGGGACGGCAUGCCGCAACAACACGUUUGUUCGCGCCGGAGGUCGUUACGACGAGACGAGGGGUCGGGCAGCUACAGCAAUUACUUUCUGGAGGGCUGCAACACUACCGUCGUGCCGGUGCUUGGGAAUUCUGGCGAGGCGAACGCGAGCAGAUACGAGGAGCUCAUCAGCGGCGGCUUUCUCUUGACACGGUCGUCAUCGCCACGUAAAUUUCACUAAGAUUAAUUUAAGACCAUCCUACAGGGAGAACUCACAACAAUGAACAAUGCAUAUGCAUCAAACUCGUGGAAGGUAUUGUUGGACGUUGAAGGUGGCGUAGCUCGAUGCAUGACCCACCGGGCCAAAAUAGUCUAAUUAGGGAUGGUUUCCUCUUCAUGCCAUUUUUUGCUGCCCGGUGUACAUGUACAACCUGCCGCGGCGCUCGUGUGCCUCUGCCCCGACGGCAAGCGUAGUAGUUGGCUUGAGUGGAAGCUGGUACCUAGGAGUAGUAGAGGCUGGUAUAUACUGGGGCAGCACGCGGGCUGAGAGAGAGGCCUCCCCCAAACCCUAACCUCCAUUCCGUCGCCUCCCCGCAGCCCCGCUCCCUCGCUCCUCUGCAGAUCCGCCGCCCAGAGGAAGAGGAAGAGUAGCACAUCGUGGACGUCGGCAUCCCUGACACCGUCCCUAAGGGCGGGGUCCUCGGCGGGGAGCAUGGCCGCGAGCGUGCCGAGCGCGAGCGUAGCCUGCUCCUACUGGAUCUACAGUGCCUCCGCCAACGCGGUGGCACCCACGCGCCCGCCUCCAGGGCCGCGGCGGCGAGCUUCUCCUUGAGCUAGGCGAGGGUCUGCACUAGCGUGCCCUCCAGGAAGAUGAGCUUGGAGAUGGGCAGGAGGCUGUGCUCGAACGCCUCCCGACGCGGGCAGAGCAGCGCCGCGGGGGUGGCGGCGGUGUCGUUGUGGUAGGGGACAGGAAUGGAGCCGUGUCCAGCGGCGAGUCGAGGGUCUCGUCGGCCAUCGUGGCGACAUGAGAGGGGAGGCGUGGGGGAGGGGGAAGAUCUGGGAGUACGGUGGGAACGGUGAGGAAAAGGCAGAGGCAGUGACUCGAUGCGUGCAGGUUUUUUUUCCUUUCUCUUGUUUGAAGGGUAGUUUGCUUGUUAAAUAAGGGUUGGUUUGAUGCCAUGUCCGCGGGCUGGCACGAGCACGGCGAGGCUGUUAAAGCCCGCUGAGCCAGCGUGCUGGCACGGUCCACCUAAGAAGGCAGCGGGCCGUGUAUUGGCCGCUUCUUCGGCACGUGGGCCAGCACGGCACGGCACGGUUACUAUAUGGGCCUAAACGUUCCGAGUCAAAUCGUGCUCGUGCCAGGCCAGGCCGGACCGCCUGUUUGGCCAUCUAUACGGCCGCCACGCAGACAGCCAUCUUUUCCAGCUCAAGUGUAACAGCAGCGAGAGGUGGAUCUGGAAAAAGGUUAUAUAGGGGGGCUGAGCAUUGGGCUCAAAUGCAUUGUUAAACUAAGUUUGGGCUACUUCAUAUUGGGCCUAGUUACAUUUACCGGUCCAAAACUAAAACCACCCACUUCAACCUUCAGAUCUUACUCCAGUCUCCAGCUUACUUGGGGCCUAGGCUCCCUUGUAUCAGUGUCAGUAGGCCCCCUUAUCCCCACGCUGGAUCCGCCCUGGCAGCGAGGCCUUCUUAAGCAAAUCAAUCUCUUCCUGGAGUAUCCGGUGGUCAGCAUCUUCACCGAGAAUCAAUCUUUAGGCCUCCUCCAACAGUUGCUUCAUUGUAAAUUUAUUAUAACAGAUAGUAUAAGAGUCAACUUCUCCAACAAAAUAAAGAAAGAUGAUUGGAAAAGAUAAAAUACUUGGCCGCCAAAAACUGGGAAGCGUGCUUGAUGUUCAAGAGAUAACUUUUCUUUAUCUCUUCUUCAUCUCUCCUCCACAUAGGACAAUUAAUGACAUGACCUGCCUAAGAGUUAGUUGACAUGGUUUUAUUGAAGGAGGCCUUAGAUCAGAUCAGCGUUGUUGUUUUCGAGGGUGCUUCGAUGAGAGAGAAAAAGAUUCUCAUGGUGCUAUAUGGUGGAGUAGAGGGUGCUGGGGAGCAACUUCUUAGCACGGAUGCCCAAUUUUGCACCAGGUGCUACACAUACAAUUUAUUUUUUGGAGCAGCGUGAGUGGUCGGACAGGGAAGAGAGUGAGGAGAAAAAUUGGACUGCUGAUUUUUUUUUAUUCAGCUGGGUACCGAGGUUGGGGGUGCUCCACGCUGGAUCAAAAUAGUCCGAGCUCUACCUUCGUGACGUGUCCUUCGUGCUUUUUCUUCAAACGAACAUACGACUGCUGCUGGUCUUACAUGUCAAUAAAUAUCAAUAUUAGGACAUCCAUAUUAGCUAAUUACUGGUAAAAAAUUAUUGGGGAAAUGUUGGAGAUGCUCUUAAAGAAGGGGUUUCUCCUUGUCGGUGUUUUGUUUUGCCGACUAGUGAUUGUACGCCGCGCUCGCGCUCUCCUCCCUUCCGAUGGCUAGCGCACAAGAGACAAGGAAUUAUACUGGUUUGGGAAGAUCCCUACGUCCGAUUUCGGCAGAAGUCAUGUUCCUUGGAUCAGGUGCACUGAGCUUACAACAGGGUGCUUACAAGCAAGCGUGCAUGCGAUGCGAGGGUGUGUGUGUGAGUGUAGGAAGGCCCGGUUCCCUUUAUAUAGGAUAGGGACUGGGUGAUAAUGUUGAGAAAUGGAGGGGGUCCCCGACCUCUGAGGUCAGGGGUUGUGGCGUGGUCGAGCUGCCUUGUGUCAGGGAACUUCCUUGUCCUAUCUUCUUGGCCGGUCGUGGGCUUUGCACGCCCUGUACGGUGGCUCCUGUGCAGCGUGGACCGCUUACACAUGGCCUAGCCUGUUCCACGGCGUGCUCCAUCCCGUUUGCCAACCCCGUGGUAGUGAACGGGACGGAAGCUGCCUCUGAUGUCCGUACCGGAGAUGAGUGAGUGAGCCUUGGUCAGCGGCUUGGAAGAGGCAUGCUACUUCCCCAGCUUUCCCAGACCUCCUUAGUGUGCUCACAGCCACCCCACGCUGUUAUGCCUGACGCUAGAUCCCGCCUCGCCUGCGAGCCCAUAUGAGGCCUAGCAUGGUCUUGACGGGUCACCAUGGUAGCGAGGGUGAUAAUGACGUUGGGGCGCGUGGGCUCAUACGACUGCGCGUGCUUGCAGGUCGUCCUGAGCAGUCCGAGGGGUGUAGCCUCACCCUCGGACCCCCUAGCUAAAGGUCAUCUCCCUUCGCCAGGUCAUGUCCCAGCGUGGGGCGGUCAGGAGGGCCACACCCUGCAUUUAAUGCUCCCGGUACGACACCGGUCUCCCCUUAGUCAAGGAGUGGGUGGGGCCCUGUGGGCCCCUUACGGGCUGCGCUCCCAAUCUAGCUGAAUCGGUGAACUAUGGCCCUCAACUCCCGACCAAGAGAGGUCGGGUGAUAGGUCGCAGCGUCGUCUAGGCCACCUCCAAUACGCCUCUCGCUGUUGGACCUUUAGUCUUUUUGCAUCCGGUUACCUUAAAUUCCUUCCCCGAGUACCCCUGGCCCGUCACUCCUGGAGUGGACAGAGGUGCCAGGGAUUGCCCGAAGUGCAUGGAAAGGCAUUGCUCCGGCGUCAAGUGCGGUGAGUUUAGGAUACUGAUUGGGCUCGAGGAGAUUCUUAAAAAGAAAUCAUAUGAGGAUGCAUAGGCCGGCCCUAACUCUUGCAAUUUCGUACACAAGCAUUCCAUGUCUACCUAUUUAAACACACAACUUUUUCAUCAAUAAUUAGCCCAUGUAGAUUACAUGAUAUAAAUUUAUUAUCUAUGGAUUCAUAUUCAAAAGCACUCUGCAUUACCUGGAACAUUUGGAAGGACCGCAACGAUCUUGUGUUCAAUGCGAAAUUAACUCCACCGGCCGCCUGCGUCCGUGCCAUCGCAGUCGAUCUUGACCUGUGGGCUCAUCGUGCCCUUGGGAACACAGACACAGAUGUGGCGUACCUUAUUUUGUAACAUAACUUAAGUACUCUCACCUCUCUUCUACCCCCACAUCGCAAAAACUCGCAUAUUAAUACAUGGUUCAAGCCGGCUACUUGCCUGCCUUGGCACCUUUAAAAAAAUAUUCAAAAGCACUUUCAUAUACUUGAUGUCAAUUACAUGGUCGUAAAUAAUGUAAGGUAAUAUAAUACAAAAUAGAAUAAGAGAUUCUGAUGGUCAAGGUGUAGCCUUAAAUACCACAAUGAGGCAAACUGCGGCAUGCGUCAAGUGUAUCAUUCACUAUCAAUUGUAUCAUUCACUAUCAAUGCAUCUCCUUUGUCAAUUGUCGCUUCCAGCUCUAAUAAAAAGGAAGGGCAAUAUUAUACACACAAGAAUGGCAGAUCGCAGAUGUCAACUCAGGGGUGUAGCAUAUUAUUUGAAUUUUAUUUGCAAAUUCGGAACUGUCAAAUAUGCCACUCAUUCCUUCCUUUAAGCAAAAGAAUCAAUAAGUGCUAUUUGAUGCUUUUCUAAGCUAAUGCUAUUUCAGGUAGCAUAAGGAUUAGCUGGAGGAUAAUAAUGAUAGGUAUGCUACAUUUAACAUAAUUUCAUAUCAAGCAAUUCAAAUUUCAGUACUUACAUACUGCAACAAGUUACUUUUUUAUUUUUAGUCUUCGGAAGACCAGAUAAGAGCUAUUAUAACAUUUAUCAUAUAUGAUUGUGCAUAGAUUCUAGAAUGAAAUUUUAGAACAAGUUAUCCACAAUCUGUGUCUUCUAUUAUAAAUUAGGCAACUUUGAGCAAGAUUCACUGUCCUUAAUUAUAUAGCUUCUUCAUAUUUUCCAGCUAUGCACUUCUUCUUUUAUUUUAUUUUUAUAAAAAGAGACAACAACGGAUAUUAAUGGUCUUGGAAAUCUGAAUGAUAUUAAUAUAACAAGCCACUAUUUGAAGAGAAAAAUAACAUCUACUUUAAUUUCAGUUUUGAUGUUAGUUGCUCCUACCAUGUAUAUAUGUGCUUGCAUGGCAUAGAAAGAGAGGAAAGCUACAGUUUUUCUAUGUGAAAAGACUAGCAGAAGCACUGAAAGGAACAUUAAGGCCCUAUUAGUAUCGCAUGGAUCUCUAGCUCUGAAAAGAUACAAGUACAUGGAGAUACAAUUACAUGGAAGUAACAAAGAUAACAUCUUCCUUUGAUAAUAAAUUUGGGGAAGGUGGUUAUGGUGUGGUUUUCAAUGGAAGGCUAGAUGAUGGUCAUCUAGUGGCUGUGAAAUUCUUCCACAACUCCAAAGGAGAAGGAGAGGAGUUUGUUAACGAGUUAUGAGCAUUGGCAGGACCUCUCAUGUUAAUAUUGUUAGCUUAUUUGGGUUUUGUUUGGAAGGCUCAAAGCGGGCCCUAAUAUAUGAGUACAUGCCCAAUGGUUCUUUGGAUAAGUUCAUAUACUCAGAGAGUCCUAAAGCAGUUUUAGGAUGGGAUAAGCUCUACA